rnacentral:rRNA from 1 species
GGUAGUUAAGUCAGAAGUGAAAUCCAAUAGCUCAACUAUUGAACUGCUUUUGAAACUGAUUACCUAGAAUAUGGGAGAGGUAGAUGGAAUUUCUGGUGUAGGGGUAAAAUCCGUAGAGAUCAGAAGGAAUACCGAUUGCGAAGGCGAUCUACUGGAACAUUAUUGACGCUGAGACGCGAAAGCGUGGGGAGCAAACAGGAUUAGAUACCCUGGUAGUCCACGCCCUAAACGAUGUACACUAGUUGUUGUGAGGCUCGACCUUGCAGUAAUGCAGUUAACACAUUAAGUGUACCGCCUGGGGAGUACGGUCGCAAGAUUAAAACUCAAAGGAAUAGACGGGGACCCGCACAAGCGGUGGAGCAUGUGGUUUAAUUCGACGAUACACGAAGAACCUUACCUGGACUUGACAUAGUAAGAACUUUCUAGAGAUAGAUUGGUGUCUGCUUGCAGAAACUUAUAUACAGGUGCUGCGCGGCUGUCGUCAGCUCGUGUCGUGAGAUGUUGGGUUAAGUCCCGCAACGAGCGCAACCCUCGUCAUUAGUUGCUAACAGUUCGGCUGAGAACUCUAAUGAGACUGCCUACGCAAGUAGGAGGAAGGUGAGGACGACGUCAAGUCAUCAUGGCCCUUACGUCCAGGGCUACACACGUGCUACAAUGGGGUAUACAAAGAGCCGCAAUACGGUGACGUGGAGCAAAUCUCAAAAAUAUCUCCCAGUUCGGAUUGUAGUCUGCAA